rnacentral:antisense_RNA from 1 species
UGUGGGAGCGGGCUUGCUCGCGAUGCAAACGAUGCGGUCUGUCUGGCGCAGCGCGCCGAUGCCAUCGCGAGCAAGCCCGCUCCCACA